rnacentral:rRNA from 1 species
GACGAACGCUGGCGGCGUGCCUAAUACAUGCAAGUCGAACGAGAGCGCCCGGUGCUUGCCCUGGUCAAUCUAGUGGCGAACGGGUGAGUAACACGUGGGUAACCUGCCCAUCAGAGGGGGAUAACAUCCGGAAACGGAUGCUAAAACCGCAUAGGUCUUCGAACCGCAUGGUUUGAAGAGGAAAAGAGGCGCAAGCUUCUGCUGAUGGAUGGACCCGCGGUGCAUUAGCUAGUUGGUGAGGUAACGGCUCACCAAGGCCGUGAUGCAUAGCCGACCUGAGAGGGUGAUCGGCCACAUUGGGACUGAGACACGGCCCAAACUCCUACGGGAGGCAGCAGUAGGGAAUCUUCCGCAAUGGACGCAAGUCUGACGGAGCAACGCCGCGUGAGUGAAGAAGGUUUUCGGAUCGUAAAACUCUGUUGUUAGAGAAGAACAAGUGCUAGAGUAACUGUUAGCGCCCUGACGGUAUCUAACCAGAAAGCCACGGCUAACUACGUG